rnacentral:rRNA from 1 species
CCUACGGGAGGCAGCAGGGGGGAAUAUUGCACAAUGGGCGAAAGCCUGAUGCAGCAACGCCGCGGGAGAGAUGAAGGCCUUCGGGUGGGAAAGCUCUGGCCUCAAGGAAGAGAAAGACGGUACUUGAGGAGGAAGCCCCGGCUAACUACGUGCCAGCAGCCGCGGUAAUACGUAGGGGGCUAGCGUUAUCCGGAAUUACUGGGCGUAAAGGGGGCGUAGGUGGUUUCUGAAGUCAGAGGUGAAAGGCUACGGCUCAACCGUAGGAAGCCUUUGAAACUGGGGAACUUGAGUGCGGGAGAGGCGAGUGGAAUUCCUGGUGUAGCGGUGAAAUGCGUAGAUAUUAGGAGGAACACCAGUUGCGAAGGCGGCUCUCUGGACUGUAACUGACACUGAGGCACGAAAGCGUGGGGAGCAAACAGGAUUAGAUACCCGGGUAGUC